rnacentral:rRNA from 1 species
UUUGGUGACGAUAGCGCCGUGGACACACCUGUUCCCAUCUCGAACACAGAAGUUAAGCACGGUAGCGGUGACGAUAUCCGCAAGGGGAAAAUAACAAGUUGCCAAAC